AUUGAACGCUGGCGGCAUGCCUUACACAUGCAAGUCGAACGGCAGCACGGGAGCAAUCCUGGUGGCGAGUGGCGAACGGGUGAGUAAAGUAUCGGAACGUGCCCAGUCGUGGGGGAUAACGUAGCGAAAGUUACGCUAAUACCGCAUACGAUCUAUGGAUGAAAGCGGGGGAUCGCAAGACCUCGCGCGAUUGGAGCGGCCGAUAUCAGAUUAGGUAGUUGGUGGGGUAAAGGCUCACCAAGCCGACGAUCUGUAGCUGGUCUGAGAGGACGACCAGCCACACUGGGACUGAGACACGGCCCAGACUCCUACGGGAGGCAGCAGUGGGGAAUUUUGGACAAUGGGCGAAAGCCUGAUCCAGCCAUGCCGCGUGCAGGAUGAAGGCCUUCGGGUUGUAAACUGCUUUUGUACGGAACGAAAAGGUUUGGCCUAAUAAGCUGAGCUCAUGACGGUACCGUAAGAAUAAGCACCGGCUAACUACGUGCCAGCAGCCGCGGUAAAAC
rnacentral:rRNA from 1 species